CUUUGCCAAUCAAGUUUCAACUCACAACUUUUUCUUAUUCACAAUCUAGAAUAGUCACCGCUCGAAUCGUUUAUCACAAGCUUCAGAUUCUACGUCACAAAAACAAGGCAUCGUCGAUAACUAAUAUAUUUCAAAGGAAGCAAACAAAAACGAAAAAAGGAGCAGCAUUCAACAACUUAAAUUAUAAAAUAAAAAACAACCAAUGGAAGCUUGCAAACAAAUUUUCACUCACGCCGACAUUUUUCUUCUUGAUUUGAAGUUCUUUUCUCCUUUCUGAGACGAUACCGAUCAAACCGAAGAAUCAACGGCGCAGCAAAUUAGGUCAAGAAGGAGUGAGGGGUUUUUAUGAAGAUGAAGUGGAAUG